AUUGAACGCUGGCGGCAUGCUUUACACAUGCAAGUCGGACGGCAGCACAGAGAAGCUUGCUUCUUGGGUGGCGAGUGGCGAACGGGUGAGUAACAUAUCGGAACGUACCGAGUAGUGGGGGAUAACUGAUCGAAAGAUCAGCUAAUACCGCAUACGUCUUGAGAGGGAAAGCAGGGGACCUUCGGGCCUUGCGCUAUUCGAGCGGCCGAUAUCUGAUUAGCUAGUUGGUGGGGUAAAGGCCUACCAAGGCGACGAUCAGUAGCGGGUCUGAGAGGAUGAUCCGCCACACUGGGACUGAGACACGGCCCAGACUCCUACGGGAGGCAGCAGUGGGGAAUUUUGGACAAUGGGCGCAAGCCUGAUCCAGCCAUGCCGCGUGUCUGAAGAAGGCCUUCGGGUUGUAAAGGACUUUUGUCAGGGAAGAAAAGGCUGUUGCUAAUAUCAUCAGCU
rnacentral:rRNA from 1 species